rnacentral:rRNA from 1 species
AAUAUUGGACAAUGGGCGAAAGCCUGAUCCAGCCAUGACGCGUGUGUGAAGAAGGUCUUCGGAUUGUAAAGCACUUUAAGUUGGGAGGAAGGGCAGUAAGUUAAUACCCUGCAAUUUUGACGUUACCAACAGAAUAAGCACCGGCUAACUUCGGGCCAGCCGCCGCGGUAAUACGAAGGGUGCAAGGGUUAAUCGGUAUUACUGGGCGUAAAGCGCGAGUAGGUGGUUCGUUAAGUUUGAAGUGAAAGCCCCGGGCUUAACCUGGGAAUUGCUUUCAAAACUGGCGAGCUAGAGUACGGUAGAGGGUAGUGGAAUUUCCUGUGUAGCGGUGAAAUGCGUAGAUAUAGGAAGGAACAUCAGUGGCGAAGGCGACUACCUGGAUUGAUACUGACACUGAGGUGCGAAAGCGUGGGGAGCAAACAGG